ensembl:lncRNA HOXD-AS2 HOXD cluster antisense RNA 2
GGGGCGAUUCUUACCCGAAGGCUGCCGAGCUACAGGCGGCGGUCGGUCCGGGCGUCUGCUGUAAUCCACUAGGCGCUGCCCGGCUGCGCUCACUCUCGGACGCAGAGACCCGCUCAUGUUGGUGAAGAAGCCGCGCCAGAACCGCGCGGCUGCAGUCACCUCGAGCAGGCCGGCUGCUCCUGGCAGGCGGUGUCGGCGCCGGCGGGGGACUCGGCGCCCAGGGCCCCUUCCAGGCCCUCCCUCGCCGGGCUCCCCACCAGCUCCGGAGGUGGCGGCGAUGCGGACCGAGUGAGCGGCGGUGGGGCCAGGCCGGGCGCCGGGCGGGAGCCGAGGCCGCGGCGGACUCCGCAAUCCCGCAGCCGGUGACUGGAGCCCACCUCUGCAGAGACAAAGGAACUGCUCUGGUGAACUCCCCCUGAAAGUAAAUGUCCUUGGCUGGCCUCCAGCAUUCCCCUCAUGGGCAUAGCCAUGCAGCCUUCAGAACCUUCCUGAAAGAGCCCUCGGUCCCGCAGUCGGGCCCCGUCGCUGACUCUCCAGCUUCCGAGCCGCGGGCGGCGAGUCCAGGGCACACGGAGCGGCCGCGGGGGCGCCAGGCCGGUGUCGCCCGAGGCAGGCGGGCCCUCGGGGCGGCCCCUAGCGCCCGAGGGGAGCUGUUCUCCCCUCGCCUCUCUCCCUACUCACACCCACCCCUCCCCACACAUCCCCACACACACGCUUGCUCACAGCUUGUCGUGUUGUUUAAAACAGGUGGAAGACCUCUGUAAUGAUAUUAUGCCUUUCAAUAAAAAUUUUAUGAGGUGUAUUUGAUUAUAGAUUAAUGUGUCCCUAAUAAAACGGACGGAUGGAGCAGAUCGGAGGGCCCCCUCCCCCUGCCACACUCACACACGCCCGCGCGGCCACACACACCCCGACGUGAGGCUGGGUCCUUGGGACACUCCCUUCUGAUUUUUUUCCCCCUACAGAGGUGAGGUUGAGCAGCCUUGAAUCUGAGGGAAAUGC